UACGGGAGGCAGCAGUAGGGAAUCUUCCGCAAUGGACGAAAGUCUGACGGAGCAACGCCGCGUGAGUGAUGAAGGUUUUCGGAUCGUAAAACUCUGUUGUUAGCGAAGAACAAGUAUCGGAGUAAGUGCCGGUACCUUGACGGUACCUAACCAGAAAGCCACGGCUAACUACGUGCCAGCAGGGGCGCG
rnacentral:rRNA from 1 species